AUUGAACGCUGGCGGCAUGCUUUACACAUGCAAGUCGAACGGUAACAGGUUAAGCUGACGAGUGGCGAACGGGUGAGUAAUGCAUCGGAACGUGCCCGAUCGUGGGGGAUAACGCAGCGAAAGCUGCGCUAAUACCGCAUACGAUCUGAGGAUGAAAGCGGGGGACCGUAAGGCCUCGCGCGAUCGGAGCGGCCGAUGUCGGAUUAGGUAGUUGGUGGGGUAAAGGCCCACCAAGCCGACGAUCUGUAGCUGGUCUGAGAGGACGACCAGUCACACUGGGACUGAGACACGGCCCAGACUACUACGGGAGGCAGCAGUGGGGAAUUUUGGACAAUGGGCGAAAGCCUGAUCCAGCAAUGCCGCGUGCAGGAAGAAGGCCUUCGGGUUGUAAACUGCUUUUGUACGGAGCGAAAAGGUCCUUUCUAAUACAAGGGGCUCAUGACGGUACCGUAAGAAUAAGCACCGGCUAACUACGUGCCAGCCGCCGCUGUAAGAC
rnacentral:rRNA from 1 species